rnacentral:rRNA from 1 species
AUACAGAGGGUGCAAGCGUUAAUCGGAUUUACUGGGCGUAAAGCGCGCGUAGGUGGCUAAUUAAGUCAAAUGUGAAAUCCCCGAGCUUAACUUGGGAAUUGCAUUCGAUACUGGUUAGCUAGAGUAUGGGAGAGGAUGGUAGAAUUCCAGGUGUAGCGGUGAAAUGCGUAGAGAUCUGGAGGAAUACCGAUGGCGAAGGCAGCCAUCUGGCCUAAUACUGACACUGAGGUGCGAAAGCAUGGGGAGCAAACAGGAUUAGAUACCCUGGUAGUCCAUGCCGUAAACGAUGUCUACUAGCCGUUGGGGCCCUUGAGGCUUUAGUGGCGCAGCUAACGCGAUAAGUAGACCGCCUGGGGAGUACGGUCGCAAGACUAAGACUCAAAUGAAUUGACGGGG